UCCCUGGUAGUAUAUCGGAUCAGUACACGCGCCUGUCAUGAACCGUCACCCCUUGCGUCCAUAGACGUUCGCGCGAGAGCGGGGUUCGACUCCCCGCCAGGGAG